CGGGAACUCUGACACGAGGUGCUGCAGUGGCUGUCGUCAGCUCGUGUCGUGAGAUGGUUAGGGUUACGUCCGUACGAGCGCAACCCUUGUCCUUAGUUACCAGCACGUUAUGGUGGGCACUCUAAGGAGACUGCCGGUGACAAACCGGAGGAAGGUGGGGAUGACGUCAAGUCAUCAUGGCCCUUACGGCCUGGGCUACACACGUGCUACAAUGGUCGGUACAAAGGGUUGCCAAGCCGCGAGGUGGAGCUAAUCCCAUAAAACCGAUCGUAGUCCGGAUCGCAGUCUGCAACUCGACUGCGUGAAGUCGGAAUCGCUAGUAAUCGUGAAUCAGAAUGUCACGGUGAAUACGUUCCCGGGCCUU
rnacentral:rRNA from 1 species